rnacentral:rRNA from 1 species
AUGAGAUCUUCGGAUGGAUUUAAAACAGCUUAGUGGCGGACGGGUGAGUAACGCGUGGGUAACCUGCCUCACACUGGGGGAUAACAGUUAGAAAUAGCUGCUAAUACCGCAUAAGCGCACGGUAUCGCAUGAUACAGUGUGAAAAACUCCGGUGGUAUAAGAUGGACCCGCGUCUGAUUAGCUAGUUGGCGGGGUAACGGCCCACCAAAGCGACGAUCAGUAGCCGGCCUGAGAGGGUGAACGGCCACAUUGGGACUGAGACACGGCCCAAACUCC